GUGAGACAGUUCGGUCCCUAUCCGUCGUGGGCGUAGGAAAUUUGAGAGGAGCUGUCCUUAGUACGAGAGGACCGGGAUGGACAUACCUCUGGUGUACCAGUUGUCGUGCCAACGGCAUAGCUGGGUAGCUAUGUAUGGACGGGAUAAGUGCUGAAAGCAUCUAAGCAUGAAGCCCCCCUCAAGAUGAGAUUUCCCAACUUCGGUUAUAAGAUCCCUCGAAGAUGACGAGGUUAAUAGGUUCGAGGUGGAAGCGUGGUGACACGUGGAGCUGACGAAUACUAAUCGAUCGAAGACUUAAUCAAUUUUUAAA
rnacentral:rRNA from 1 species